UUCUCGGCGGUUAACGGCCUAUCCGUCGGAUCCUCUGUCAAAGGCGAGUGACGGAUAGGCGGGCUGCCGACUGAC